UACGUAGGGUGCGAGCGUUAAUCGGAAUUACUGGGCGUAAAGCGUGCGCAGGCGGUUCGCAAAGUCUGAUGUGAAAGCCCCGGGCUCAACCUGGGAACUGCAUUGGAAACUAGCGGGCUCGAGUGUGGCAGAGGGGGGUGGAAUUCCACGUGUAGCAGUGAAAUGCGUAGAGAUGUGGAGGAACACCGAUGGCGAAGGCAGCCCCCUGGGCUAACACUGACGCUCAGGCACGAAAGCGUGGGGAGCAAACAGG
rnacentral:rRNA from 1 species